CAGUAGGGAAUCUUCCACAAUGGGCGAAAGCCUGAUGGAGCAACGCCGCGUGUGUGAUGAAGGCUUUCGGGUCGUAAAGCACUGUUGUAUGGGAAGAAUGACAUUGAGAGUAACUGUUCAAUGUGUGACGGUAUCUUACCAGAAAGGAACGGCUAAAUACGUGCCAG
rnacentral:rRNA from 1 species